rnacentral:rRNA from 1 species
CUUAACACAUACAAGUCGAACGGUAAGGCCCUUCGGGGUACACGAGUGGCGAACGGGUGAGUAACACGUGGGUGAUCUGCCCUGGCACUUCGGGAUAAGCCUGGGAAACUGGGUCUAAUACCGGAUAUGACCCUCUGGCCCUGGCAUGGGUGGGGGUGGAAAGCUUUUGCGGUGUGGGAUGGGGCCCGCGGCCUAUCAGGCUUGUUGGUGGGGUUAAGGCCUACCAAGGCGACGACGGGUAGCCGGCCUGAGAGGACGGCCAGCCACACUGGGACUGAGACACGGCCCAGACUCC